GGUAGUGGUUUCAGGGACAGCAGGUGUGGCUGCUUCAGACUAGCUUUGGGCUCCGCAGCUGCCCGGAGGGUCUCUGCAGUGACCAACCCCUUCUUCUCCAGUACGCUACACCAGCCGGCUGUAACAACCAGCAAUGGCGGCCUGGAUGGCCUCUCAACGACCAAUCAAGGGAAUCCUGAAGAACAAGACCUCAGCGUCUUCCCCGGUAGUGGCCUCAGCUGAACAGCCCAGCCUGACCUUCAAAAAGCUGAAUAAGAAGUCCCAGACCUGGGAUGAAGCUAACAUCUUAUCAACUUAUCAUCCACCUGAGGAAGACUACGGACUGAUGAAAACAAGUGCGCCAAACACACUAUACCACAAUUCGAUGGCUUAUGAUAAAGAUGCUGCUAAUGCUUCAGAAUGCCAUGAAAUGUUGAAUCCAGAUUGCUUAGAGAAGAAACUCACUGUUGAUGAAGAUUCUGGGCCAAGCGAUAUGGAACUUGAAGAAGAAGGUGGUAGAGAGGAAGAAAAUUACCUCUCCCCUCAAGAAAAGAAGCGGCAGUUUGAAAUGAAAAGGAAGCUUCACAGCAACGAAGGACUAAAUAUUAAAUUAGCCAGACUGCUAAUUUCAAAAGACCUACAUGAUGAUGAUGACGAAGAUGAAGAAAUGUCAGAGGCUACAGACUUUGACAGCAUCAAUAUUGACUAGUCGAAUCAAGGAUCUACCGAAAGUGACCAUCUGCAACUGAAAUCACAAAGUUCAUAAAAGUAAUGUGUUCAGCCUAACAGUCAUUUGUCAAAUACAAACCUCGUUACUGUACUGUACUGCUUCUUGUUCUCUAUAAUUCGUGAUUUUCUUAACAAAAUACAUAUCAUUUAUAUAGUGUUAAGAAUUAAGACCAUAGAGCCUAAGUAAAUGGAAAAUGCCUAAUUAAUGCACAUAUUCUAGUGUCUCAUAGUUCAUCAUAAAUACAGUGUAAUGUCAGUAAUCCAAAACUACUUUCCUUUUGUAAGAGCACUGGUUAAUUUCUAUAAGAUAUUACAUAGCUUUUUAUGCUUUAAUUAAUAUAUUAAAUAACAUCAUGGAAGAAAUUAAUUUAUUUUUGUCACUUCUAGAUGGUGGUACUUCUUAUAAAAUGUUUGGGGUAGUUUCAUGCUUUUCUUCAUUUAAUCAAAAGCCUACUCAUACAAUGGGAUAUAUGGGUGGAUAAAUAUUUAGGUGGAAAGAGAUAUUUUCUUAACAUUUAUUUUUAGCUUGUUUGACUAAUUGAGAAAGCAUCUGAGCUGUUGUCUAAUCGAUAACCUUUAAAAGUCCUGUUCAUUUUCUUUGUGCUCAAAAGGAAAGGAAUGAAAAUGUUUUUCAUCCAAACUGGUUUCCCCCAUUCCCACCCACACUCAAAGAAAUGAUCAGGUUAAAGUUGCUCAGUUUGACACCUGCUAGUUCUAGUACUUAAGGGAAACAGACAUAGUAGUAGCCAAAUGAUCGCAGGAAGGAGAGCUAAGCAGCUUGGUAUCGGUACUCUGAUUGACAAUUUGGUCAGUAAAUGGCUGAUAUUCGUUUAUUUGACAUUAGACCUUAGAAAACAAUUAACUGAGGCAUUUUUGCACAAUGCAGGCAUUGUAUAUAAUCAGAAAACGAUUGUUUUGUACAGGCAGAACUAUACCUGAAUAUUUUUAAAUUUAAAGAUUCUGAAGAGUCUCUACAUAAAGGGAAUAUGAUACUGUACACUGUGAAGAAUGAACAUGAUCCCUCUAACAUGAUAGAAAUUAUUUAGAUUUUUCCCCCUGAAAUAACAUGUAGUUCCUGUCUGUCUUAGUUUAGUGAUUAUUUCCUUUGUAGACAUUUAUUUAUUUAUAUUGUAAGUUUUUAGUAGCACCAAAUGAGUUUGUUAUAUGACAGACUUUUAAAAUAACUUCUGUAUAUUAUAUAUAUGAAAUGGCUUUUAUUGAACAUAUAUCUUCCACUUUA